GGGAGCAGAAUGUUACCCCCGAUCUCCCAGAGUGCUAUUACCAAAAAAUGCCAGAGAGCUCGGGGGUCUGAAGGUGCCGCUAUUCAGGAGGCUAAACCUGUUGCUAUGGUGCUUCGGUGAGGAGUGUUACUGGUUGAGGUUUCCAAAGGGGACGCUACUGAGAAGCUGGCUCACCAAGUCCCGACCCAGACUGCUGCUACUGAUUGCAGGCUUGAAGAGGCCUCAGGUCACCCUCAUGAGAAGGAAGAGGAUGAAGCGCACAAAAAUAGCAAAGGCCACGUAAGCGAACCUGCAGCCGAAUGCCACAUUUCUCCUGAGUCACUGAGAGUAGCCCUGCCUGCUGUAGAAAUGGAAGAAGCCCAAGAUACGGAGGAAAAAACUUAUCAACUGGUGCCGACUCAACGAACUGACCACAAAAGCAAACUGGAGAGAGGAUCGGAGUUUGUCGUGAAAGCAAGAGACCCGCCACAGAGGUCCAGACCCCCCGACUAAAACCCGGACCCACUCUCACCCCACACACGGCCAUGUGUACAUCCCUCCUCUUUCAAAAAUACACCUCUGUUAUGGUUUCUGACACUA